AGAGUUUGAUCCUGGCUCAGAUUGAACGCUGGCGGCAUGCUUUACACAUGCAAGUCGGACGGCAGCACAGGGAAGCUUGCUUCUCGGGUGGCGAGUGGCGAACGGGUGAGUAACAUAUCGGAACGUACCGGGUAGCGGGGGAUAACUGAUCGAAAGAUCAGCUAAUACCGCAUACGUCUUGAGAGGGAAAGCAGGGGACCUUCGGACCUUGCGCUAUCCGAGCGGCCGAUAUCUGAUUAGCUGGUUGGCGGGGUAAAGGCCCACCAAGGCGACGAUCAGUAGCGGGUCUGAGAGGAUGAUCCGCCACACUGGGACUGAGACACGGCCCAGACUCCUACGGGAGGCAGCAGUGGGGAAUUUUGGACAAUGGGCGCAAGCCUGAUCCAGCCAUGCCGCGUGUCUGAAGAAGGCCUUCGGGUUGUAAAGGACUUUUGUCAGGGAAGAAAAGGCCGUUGCCAAUAUCGGCGGCCGAUGACGGUACCUGAAGAAUAAGCACCGGCUAACUACGUGCCAGCAGCCGCGGUAAUACGUAGGGUGCGAGCGUUAAUCGGAAUUACUGGGCGUAAAGCGGGCGCAGACGGUUACUUAAGCAGGAUGUGAAAUCCCCGGGCUCAACCCGGGAACUGCGUUCUGAACUGGGUGACUCGAGUGUGUCAGAGGGAGGUGGAAUUCCACGUGUAGCAGUGAAAUGCGUAGAGAUGUGGAGGAAUACCGAUGGCGAAGGCAGCCUCCUGGGAUAACACUGACGUUCAUGUCCGAAAGCGUGGGUAGCAAACAGGAUUAGAUACCCUGGUAGUCCACGCCCUAAACGAUGUCAAUUAGCUGUUGGGCAACUUGAUUGCUUGGUAGCGUAGCUAACGCGUGAAAUUGACCGCCUGGGGAGUACGGUCGCAAGAUUAAAACUCAAAGGAAUUGACGGGGACCCGCACAAGCGGUGGAUGAUGUGGAUUAAUUCGAUGCAACGCGAAGAACCUUACCUGGUUUUGACAUGUGCGGAAUCCUCCGGAGACGGAGGAGUGCCUUCGGGAGCCGUAACACAGGUGCUGCAUGGCUGUCGUCAGCUCGUGUCGUGAGAUGUUGGGUUAAGUCCCGCAACGAGCGCAACCCUUGUCAUUAGUUGCCAUCAUUCGGUUGGGCACUCUAAUGAGACUGCCGGUGACAAGCCGGAGGAAGGUGGGGAUGACGUCAAGUCCUCAUGGCCCUUAUGACCAGGGCUUCACACGUCAUACAAUGGUCGGUACAGAGGGUAGCCAAGCCGCGAGGCGGAGCCAAUCUCACAAAACCGAUCGUAGUCCGGAUUGCACUCUGCAACUCGAGUGCAUGAAGUCGGAAUCGCUAGUAAUCGCAGGUCAGCAUACUGCGGUGAAUACGUUCCCGGGUCUUGUACACACCGCCCGUCACACCAUGGGAGUGGGGGAUACCAGAAGUAGGUAGGGUAACCGCAAGGAGUCCGCUUACCACGGUAUGCUUCAUGACUGGGGUGAAGUCGUAACAAGGUAGCCGUAGGGGAACCUGCGGCUGGAUCACCU
rnacentral:rRNA from 1 species